rnacentral:misc_RNA from 1 species
AAGAGAACAGCCAGGAGUAGGAAGAACAGGUAGCAAAUCUCACCGGGUCUCAAACCGCCAUUGGCACGCCUGCACCACGGUGCUUAACGGCGUGUCUGCGUGCGCGCGUUGGAAGACGCGUGCAUGCAGUCAGUGCGGGACUCUUUGGGCACAGCUCGUUUGCUGUGGCUUGGCGCUAGAGCUGCAGCUUGCUGGCAUACUUGUUAGCCGUCAAUGUGGGCGAGCUUUCUGGAUCAAAUCCAACAGCGGAUUGAAGAUGCUGUGGAUCUCCUCGGCGAUGAGGAGGCGGAAGACGUUGGGCGAGAGGAUGCAGCACGCGUUGUGGUAGCCAGCCCUGCCGCUGACUCGAAGGGCUCCGUACUGCCUCAGCAGUGGGGGCGAGAGCAGCAUGUUUCAGCCGAAAAUUCAGACGGUAACGCUGGUGCAGAAGGAUGGGAGGAGGACGAGCUGAGCGAGCUGGUAAUCCCAUCCGCUCCCCCAGAGCCAGGCUUGCGUGAACCCGCACCGGCAGCAACGGUGCCGCCAGCGCCUCCGACGCUGCCUUCGUCAUCGGCCACACCCGGCUUCUCAGUGUUCAUCCUGCCGCCGAAACCCGCGACGUUGUCUGACCCGACAGACGUGACUCCCUCUGCCACCGCAGCACCUCAGCUGGUGUCAGCUUCACGGGAAACAGGGCAGCAACACCCCAGUGCUGUUCCUAGCGACACCAAUCCCUUGAUAGCAGGGUCACCGCUUAAACCACAAGCGGAGGAGGUCACGACGCCACCUGAGGAGCUUGCAGCACCACCACCCGUUAGCACGUUGUCGGCGGAGUCGCCCUCGCUAGAGGGAGCCGACCUUCAUUCCGGGUUGCUUUAUGCAGAAGGUACCACUGCCGUGACUUCCAACCCGACUUCAGCGUCUUCGGCUGGCAAGCCCAUUUCAUCUACGUCGUUUCCCCCGUCUCCUUCGUUGCCUGCUGCAACCGGACCUUCACCGCCACCGCCGAAGGCGGUGGCGGGGGAGUUCAGCGACAUAGGGCAGCUGCUUCGAUUCCAGCAGCAGUUGGCAGAGGAGAUGGAGAAUGUGGCUAAGCUGCAGCGUCAGAACGCAUCCUUGAAGGACCGCGUCUCUACGCUUGAAGAGCAGCUGGCAGGUGCCACAUCCUCCCUUGCGCGCACUGGGGACAGUGAGCAGCAGAUAUCGCUGCUGAUCGAGAGGCUCGGAAAGGAGAGGGAGAGACACAAGGCACUGGCGGAGGAGCGGAACCAGCUGAAAGAGCACCUGCAGGAUCUUGAAGAAGAGGUAGAAGAGUAUCGCAUUCGGGAAGAGGGCUGGAUAAGUGGGCAGGAGCGGCAACAGGAGAACGAGAUCGCCGCGCAGCAGCGCAUUGCCCAGCUCGAGAAUGACAUGCGUUCUUGCAACGCCAUCGUUGACAACCUCAGAACCCAACUUACGGAAGCGAAGCACCUAAACGGUGUCCUACAGAACCAGGUGGAAGAGCUGAAGGUGAGCUACUCCGCCCAGCUGGAUACCGUAAAGGAGUCGAGCUCCGACACCGUGGAUCAGCUUCGCCAAGAGGUGGAGCAGCUGCGCAGCUCUUUGCAGAAUCUGUCGACAGAGUACGACACGCGAACAGCAGAGCUGGAGAGUGAGGUGCAGAACGCAAACAUGCACGCCCAUCAAGCAGAGGCCCGUCUGAGUGAGAUGGCGCUUGGUUCUGUCAACACACUGCAGGAUCUCCGAAGUGAACUCGAGGAUUCCCAGCGCAGCAGCGCUACCUGGAAGGCUGAGGCGCAGAAAACGCGCCACGAGUAUACGACGCUACUAGAACAGUAUGCAUCACUGAAGCGGUCUCGAGCGGCAGCAGAGGCCGAUUUGCGCGACCGGCUCAGCUACGAGUCUAACACAGUGUCUGCUCUGCGGAAAGGCAUCCGUGAGUGGGAAGAUCGAUAUCUGGCGCUGCAGGAAUCGGUGGGCGCGACGCAGACGGAAAUAGAGGAGCAGCGAAAGACAAUCAUGCAGCUGGAAUCCACAAUUCAAAAACUGAAGGCGUCCGGCGCUGACAUGCUGAGCCAGUCUCAGAGCGAAGUCCUCGUGAGUACGAACGCGCCGCUUGUGAAGGCUUCGUUGUCGGAGCCUUCACUGUCAGGAUCACCUUCGAACGAGAUACUGGGGGCGCGGCUAAUGUCAGCUCCCCCACUGAACCCCUUCAUGAGCAUGAAGCGGCCAGCUUGGAACGAUUCGAGGGACCGCAAAACGCGUGAGCGACUCGAAGAGGAGGUAGUGCGGCAGUCCGCCGAACUGGAGCGCGUCCGGGCCGCAGCCGCUGACGCCGAAGUCUGGAAAGCAAAGUACGAUCGCCUGCAAGAGGAGCACGACUUGCUGCUUCAGCUGUAUGGACAGCUCGAGGAAGAUGUCGGUGCGUUGAGGAAGAACGGCGCUGGGAUUUUGCCUGCUGAUGCUGCCGCUGCCUCUUCCGCUUCCGGCUCUAUAUCUGCCGCUGCUGCGCCUUAGCGUGCUGCACUGAAGAGAUGGCGGAGGAAUCUAAGGGGUGGGGGGCAGAAAGGACAAUUACGGAAGGACAUUGUGCGGUGAAGAGAGGAAGCUGCUUUACAGCAGCGCAUCUUGAGACGGCUGUUGGGUCCAUCUGCUCAAAGGCACCGAGCGUUCAACCGGAGCGAUGGUCUUCUUAUGUUCCUUAUUUCUGUUCAUGGGCUGCCUUUACAGCGUACUUGCAUCUUCCCUCCACCUUUGCCACACUCGCCCCCACUUCUCAUCUGUUUCUGUGCGUACUUCAUGCUGGCACUCGACUUUUCUACUGUGACGCCCCAUUUACCUUGCAAGGGAGAGAAAGGAGGCGGGGGGUGCUCAUGGAGCUGCUUCGAAGUCUCUGGGCACUUGCCAGCCACAGUGCGCUCCUUCAACCCUUGUGCGGCUUCUCGCUACGCCAUUAUGUCGUCGUUUGCGGAGCGUAUAGACAGCGCGGACAUCAACAACAGCCGUAUGGCUGUGCGCAUUGUGUGCAAAAAGUCACAAGCGAGUGGCGCAGACGUGUGCUUUGCCCUCCUGCGCAGUGCGCAUGUGAUGAUGACGGUUGCUACGAACAAAAAAGAUAAGGGAGAAUUGUCAGUGGUGCUGCUUGGGGUACCCUCUGGAUAUUCCUUUUUUUUUUCACCUUAUCACUCCUGCACUGUGUCUUGUCCCCCUCCCCCCUCCUGCGUCAUCCUCUCAAGUAGUGAUGGUUGGCGGUAGAGGUGCUGGUGCCGAUACCCCUGCUGCUUUCCUCAUCCUCGUUUAUUCCUCACCGCUGUUCUCUAUCUGGCACUCUCAACCCUGUCUCGUUGCCUUUGACUCCCGAGGACGGCGAGGCCCUUACCUCUCUGUCUCUCUCGCUCUCGAUGCACCAUACCGCUUGAAG